GACGAACGCUGGCGGCGUGCUUAACACAUGCAAGUCGAACGGAAAGGCCCUGCUUUUGUGGGGUGCUCGAGUGGCGAACGGGUGAGUAACACGUGAGUAACCUGCCCUUGACUUUGGGAUAACUUCAGGAAACUGGGGCUAAUACCGGAUAGGAGCUCCUGCUGCAUGGUGGGGGUUGGAAAGUUUCGGCGGUUGGGGAUGGACUCGCGGCUUAUCAGCUUGUUGGUGGGGUAGUGGCUUACCAAGGCUUUGACGGGUAGCCGGCCUGAGAGGGUGACCGGCAACAUUGGGACUGAGAUACGGCCCAGAAUCCUACGGGAGGAAGCAGUGGGGAAUAUUGCACAAUGGGCGGAAGACUGAUGCAGCAACGCCGCGUGCGGGAUGACGGACUUCGGGUUGUAAACCGCUUUCGCCUGUGACGAAGCGUGAGUGACGGUAAUGGGUAAAGAAGCACCGGCUAACUACGUG
rnacentral:rRNA from 1 species